CCUACGGGAGGCUGCAGUGGGGAAUAUUGCACAAUGGGGGAAACCCUGAUGCAGCGACGCCGCGUGAGUGAAGAAGGAUUUCGGUACGUAAAGCUCUAUCAGCAGGGAAGAAAAUGCAGGUCCCUGACCAGGAAGCCCCGGCUAACUACGUGCCAGCAGCCGCGGUAAUACGCCGGGGGCCAGCGUUAUCCGGAUUUACUGGGUGUAAAGGGACCGUAGAGGUCUGCGCAAGUCUGGAGUGAAAGCCCAUGGCUUAACCCUGGAACUGCUUUGGAAACGGUGCAUCUAGAGUGCAGUAGAGGUAAGCGGAAUUCCUAGUGUAGCGGUGAAAUGCGUAGAUAUUAGGAGGAACACCAGUGGCGAAGGCGGCUUACUGGACUGUAACUGACAUUGAGGCUCGAAAGCGUGGGGAGCAAACAGGAUUAGAUACCCGGGUAGUC
rnacentral:rRNA from 1 species